rnacentral:rRNA from 1 species
AUUGAACGCUGGCGGCAUGCUUUACACAUGCAAGUCGAACGGUAACAGGCCUUCGGGUGCUGACGAGUGGCGAACGGGAGAGUAAUGCAUCGGAACGUGCCCAGAGGUGGGGGAUAACGCAGCGAAAGCUGUGCUAAUACCGCAUGUGAUCUGAGGAUGAAAGCGGGGGACCAGGCAGCAAUGUUUGGCCUCGCGCCUUUGGAGCGGCCGAUGUCAGAUUAGGUAGUUGGUGGGGUAAAGGCCUACCAAGCCGACGAUCUGUAGCUGGUCUGAGAGGACGACCAGCCACACUGGGACUGAGACACGGCCCAGACUCCUACGGGAGGCAGCAGUGGGGAAUUUUGGACAAUGGGCGCAAGCCUGAUCCAGCAAUGCCGCGUGCGGGAAGAAGGCCUUCGGGUUGUAAACCGCUUUUGUACGGAACGAAAAGGCUCUGGCUAAUACCUGGGGCUGAUGACGGUACCGUAAGAAUAAGCACCGGCUAACUACGUG